rnacentral:rRNA from 1 species
CCUACGGGAGGCUGCAGUGAGGAAUAUUGGUCAAUGGCCGAGAGCCUGAACCAGCCACGUCGCGUGAAGGAAGACUGUCCUAUGGGUUGUAAACUGCUUUUAUCAGGGAACAAAGCCCCUUACGUGUAGGGCUUUGCGAGUACCUGAUGAAUAAUGAUCGGCUAAUUCCGUGCCAUCAACCGCGGUAAUACGGAAGGUCCGGACGUUAUCCGGAUUUAUUGGGUUUAAAGGGGGCUUAGGCAGCAUUACAAGUGUGCUGUAAAAUGUGCGGGCUCAACCCCGUCCCUGACUCGGAAACUGGCGAGCUUGAGUGGGAGAAAAGCAGGCGGAAUGCGUCGUGUAGCGGUGAAAUGCAUAGAUAUGACGAAGAACACCGAUUGCGAAGGAAGCAUGCAGGAGCGGAACUGACGCUGAAGCACGAAAGCGUGGGUAUCGAACAGGAUUAGAUACCCUUGUAGUC